rnacentral:tRNA from 1 species
CAAGAAAUAGUUUAUUUAAAAUAUUAAUUUUGGAAAUUAAUGAUAUAAUUUUUUAUUUUUUUGA